UGGGGAAUCUUGCGCAAUGGGCGAAAGCCUGACGCAGCAACGCCGCGUGCGGGAUGAAGGCUCUCGGGUCGUAAACCGCUUUCAGCAGGGAUGAAAAUGACAGUACCUGCAGAAGAAGCCCCGGCUAAAUACGUGCCAGCAGCCGCGGUAAUACGUAUGGGGCAAGCGUUAUCCGGAUUCAUUGGGCGUAAAGAGCGCGUAGGCGGCUUGUUAAGUCAGAUGUGAAAUCUGGGGGCUCAACCCGCAGCUUGCAUCUGAAACUGGCAGGCUUGAGUCUGGUAGAGGAAAGUGGAAUUCCCAGUGUAGCGGUGAAAUGCGCAGAUAUUGGGAGGAACACCAGUGGCGAAGGCGGCUUUCUGGGCCACGACUGACGCUGAGGCGCGAAAGCUAGGGGAGCAAACAGG
rnacentral:rRNA from 1 species